CUCGCGAGAGCGGGGCCGCUCUGAGGGGAGCUGGUUCAGGUGCCGGUGGUGCCGCCGGGCGGUGUGCUGCGCCAGAAUGGGCUCCUGCCACUAAGUCUAAGGCAGUCUAAGGUUCAAGUGCAGAGGCAGACAGCGACAGAGUAAACACCCAGCACACAGUGCUGCUCUGAACAAAUCAGACCUGCUGUGAAGGGGCACCCCAGCGAUAGGAAUGGGCAACAGGCAGGUUGGACCCUUCAGAAGUAGUUUGCCACGGAGGAAAAGACACCUCAGGAACAAGUGUACAAAAGCUUCCUUAUCUUCCAAACUGAGUGGGAACCCCAUUACCACCUCUGGCCUCUGCAGUGCCUCCUUCACCUCUGAUCAAACAAGGUAUUGUAGCAAACAGGGACUCCAAAUACACAUUUCAACCUAAACUGCUACUGAAAGGAGCUUUGCAACAAUCUAUCAACUUGGAAACAAUCAUUUUUCAAGCAAAUACUUUUUAAAUGUAGGGGCUGGUUUUGUAUGAUACAUUGCAGG